UAGGGAAUCUUCCGCAAUGGACGCAAGUCUGACGGAGCACCGCCGCGUGUGUGAAGAAGGUUUUCGGAUCGUAAAGCACUGUUGUUAGAGAAGAACGGCUACUAGAGGAAAUGCUAGUAGAUUGACGGGAUCUAACCAGAAAGCCACGGCUAACUACGUGG
rnacentral:rRNA from 1 species